UACGGUAGGGUGCGAGCGUUGUCCGGAAUUAUUGGGCGUAAAGGGCUCGUAGGCGGCUUGUCGCGUCGUCCGUGAAAACUUGGGGCUCAACCCCAAGCUUGCGGUCGAUACGGGCAGGCUCGAGUUCGGUAGGGGAGACUGGAAUUCCUGGUGUAGCGGUGAAAUGGCGCAGAUAUCAGGAGGAGCACCGGUGGCGAAGGCGGGUCUCUGGGCCGAUACUGACGCUGAGGAGCGAAAGCGUGGGGAGCGAACAGG
rnacentral:rRNA from 1 species